GGCUGGAUAGCUCAGUUGGUAGAGCACUAGUUUGGUACUACGGAGGUCGCAGGUUCAAACCCUACUCCAGUCA